rnacentral:rRNA from 1 species
UCGAGAAUUUUUCUCAAUGGGGGAAACCCUGAAGGAGCGACGCCGCGUGGGGGAUGAAUGGCUUCGGCCCGUAAACCCCUGUCAUUUGCGAACAAAUUAUUUCAGCUAACAAGUGAGAUAUUGAUUGUAGCAGAAGAGGAAGGGACGGCUAACUCUGUGCCAGCAGCCGCGGUAAUACAGAGGUCCCAAGCGUUGUUCGGAUUCACUGGGCGUAAAGGGUGCGUAGGUGGCAGGGUAAGUCUGAUGUGAAAUCUCCGAGCCUAACUCGGAAACUGCAUCGGAUACUAUCCCGCUCGAGGAGUGGAGGGGAGACUGGAAUACUUGGUGUAGCAGUGAAAUGCGUAGAUAUCAAGUGGAACACCAGUGGCGAAGGCGAGUCUCUAGACACUUCCUGACACUGAGGCACGAAAGCCAGGGGAGCAAACGGGAUUAGAUACCCCCGUAGUCC